rnacentral:rRNA from 1 species
GAUGAACGCUGGCGGCGUGCCUAAUACAUGCAAGUCGAGCGAAUGGAUUAAGAGCUUGCUCUUAUGAAGUUAGCGGCGGACGGGUGAGUAACACGUGGGUAACCUGCCCAUAAGACUGGGAUAACUUCGGGAAACCGGGGCUAAUACCGGAUAACAUUUUGAACCGCAUGGUUCGAAAUUGAAAGGCGGCUUCGGCUGUCACUUCUGGAUGGACCCGCGUCGCAUUAGCUAGUUGGUGAGGUAACGGCUCACCAAGGCAACGAUGCGUAGCCGAGCUGAGAGGGUGAUCGGCCACACUGGGACUGAGACACGGCCCAGACUCCUACGGGAGGCAGCAGUAGGGAAUCUUCCGCAAUGGACGAAAGUCUGACGGAGCAACGCCGCGUGAGUGAUGAAGGCUUUCGGGUCGUAAAACUCUGUUGUUAGGGAAGAACAAGUGCUAGUUGAAUAAGCUGGCACCUUGACGGUACCUAACCAGAAAGCCACGGCUAACUACGUGCCAGCCGCCGCCGUAA